rnacentral:rRNA from 1 species
GUCGAGCGGUAGAGAGAAGCUUGCUUCUCUUGAGAGCGGCGGACGGGUGAGUAAUGCCUAGGAAUCUGCCUGGUAGUGGGGGAUAACGUUCGGAAACGGACGCUAAUACCGCAUACGUCCUACGGGAGAAAGCAGGGGACCUUCGGGCCUUGCGCUAUCAGAUGAGCCUAGGUCGGAUUAGCUAGUUGGUGGGGUAAUGGCUCACCAAGGCGACGAUCCGUAACUGGUCUGAGAGGAUGAUCAGUCACACUGGAACUGAGACACGGUCCAGACUCCUACGGGAGGCAGCAGUGGGGAAUAUUGGACAAUGGGCGAAAGCCUGAUCCAGCCAUGCCGCGUGUGUGAAGAAGGUCUUCGGAUUGUAAAGCACUUUAAGUUGGGAGGAAGGGCAGUAAAUUAAUACUUUGCUGUUUUGACGUUACCGACAGAAUAAGCACCGGCUAACUCUGUGCCAGCAGCCGCGGUAAUACAGAGGGUGCAAGCGUUAAUCGGAAUUACUGGGCGUAAAGCGCGCGUAGGUGGUUAGUUAAGUUGGAUGUGAAAUCCCCGGGCUCAACCUGGGAACCGCAUUCAAAACUGACUGACUAGAGUAUGGUAGAGGGUGGUGGAAUUUCCUGUGUAGCGGUGAAAUGCGUAGA